rnacentral:lncRNA from 1 species
GCCCUAGUAGUCGGUGGCUGGUCGGUGACUGGGACCAGACCGUCGCCUCCUCCCUUUUACAGCUUUAAGUCUGUGACCCGAGGCCUCUCUGUAUAUUCCCGUGGGGUUGGGCCUAGUUGUCCUGGGAGAAACUAGAUGGAUGAGGAGUAUUUCCGAGACAGGUCCCAGGGCCAGCGCAGCCUUUUCUGUUGCAGAACCGCGACUGUUGUUUUGGGAUCCAGGCCGGAGGGUUUGUUGCUUGUGUUCAUUCCAGUUAACCAUUAGUACUCGAGAAGGUGGUACAGAACGCAUCUAUCCCCUUAGAAGAAAAGAAAUUAAAAGCCAAACUAAACUGGGAUAUAUAUUAAUAUAGGAAACUACCACUGAGACAUAGGAAAGUGUAUUAAAAUAUAACUAGUGAGGUGCUAUGUAUAAUUCAGAGGAAGGGGAAAUUAUGCAUGGGCCAGACUACUAACAAAAGGCUCCAAAGCCUGGGAUACGCUGAGGGCCUUUCCAUAACAGAAAAUGAAAAGGAACCUAAAUUUGAGACUAGAUUUGAGGAAAGGCACAGUUGCGCUGGAGUAGAAAGCGUCUGUCUACCGCAGUGGAAAGUAAGUUUUCGUAAAUGCAGACUAGCUCCAGGGUGAGGACAGAAUCUAGCUUUUAAAUCAGUAUAAUCUCUCUUCUUUUACAUUUGAAAAUCUCUGCAGCGAUAUGUUAUUGUAUCCCCAGCACCAUACAAAGGACAUACAAGGGCCAAAUACUGUGGGAAUAUUUAUUAAUGAUAUUAAUGAUGAUGCUGUCCGGGCCAAAGGAAAACUUCCGCUUCACCUUCUGAAGUUUCGCUGAAAGUCACUGACAGGAGGCAGUUAAUAGGAGAAAAGACAUAGACAUUGAUUUGACCAUCGUUUUAUGUGACACGGGAGCCUUCAGAAUGAAGACCCAAAGAUAACAAGGGAAAUCGUGUAUUUGUAUGCUUAGGUUCAACAAAGCAUGGACAGCCGUAUAAAAAAAUGACUGGACAAGGCCGGGCGCGGUGGCUCACGCCUGUAAUCUCAGCACUUUGGGAGGCUGAGGCGGGCGGAUCACAAGGUCAGGAGAUCGAGACCAUCCUGGCUAACACAGUGAAACCCCGUCUCUACUAAAAAUACUAAAAAUUAGCCAGGCGUGGUGGCGGGCGCCUGUAGUCCCAGCUACUCAGGAGGCUGAGGCAGGAGAAUGGCGUGAACCCGGGAGGCGGAGCUUGCAGUGAGCCGAGAUUGCGUCACCGCACUCCAGCCUGGGCGACAGAGCGAGACUCCGUCUCAAAAAAAAUGACUGGACAAAAAACACUCUGAUGCAAACAGGCAAGAAACCCAGCAAGGCCUAUCUGGAUUCUCCUUGGCCUGUCUGCAGCAUUCAUUCCUUCUGGGUAUGGAACAGGACCCUCUGGAAUGGGGGCUGUGGCCUACAACAGUUAAACAAGUGAACUAAAGGGCUCCCAAAAUCUCUCCUGCAGCAUUUUCCUUGAGAAGGAGGAAGGUUUGCAUCUCUGUGAGAAGAAACAUCAGAAGCAGUUGAAAGACCAGGAUGUGGGUCCUCUGGGGCUGAGGAGGCAUUCUGAAUCAACUGUGUGUUCUACACCUGUGUUUUAACUGUGACCUGUCACAUGAGGACAAGUGUGGAAUUUCCCACUUUUGUGCCAUAAAUCUCUCUCUGGGAACAGUGUGGAAGAUGGAUUGAAAUGGUGUAAAAUUGAAGAUGUGGACUCCGGUUGGGAGACUACACCCUAGAUAAGAUGAAGAGAACUUGAAGCAAGACAAUAGCAAUGGGAAUAUAAAGGAGAGGAGACAUUUGAGUGAAAUUAAGGAAGCACAAUCUGCAGACUGUUUUCUUUUUUUUAAGAGUCAGGGUCUCCCUAUUUUGCCCAGGCUGGUCUCAAAGUCCUAGGCUCAAGCGACCCACCCACCUCAGCCUUCCAAAAUGCUGGAAUUACAGGGGUGAACUGCCUCACCAUGCCUCAGUCUGCAGAAUUUGAUGACUGAAUGUAUUUGGAGAGAGUCUGUGGCUUGGAUGACUGGGAGCUGUGAUUGGUUGAUUGAUUUUGAGGCGGAGUUUCACUCUUGUUGCCCAGGCUGAAGUGCAGUGGCACAACCUCUGCUCACUGCAACCGCUGCC